rnacentral:rRNA from 1 species
CAGUAGUCACGAGUUUGAUCCUGGCUCAGAACGAACGCUGGCGGCAUGCCUAACACAUGCAAGUCGAACGAGACCUUCGGGUCUAGUGGCGCACGGGUGCGUAACGCGUGGGAAUCUGCCCUUGGGUUCGGAAUAACUUCGGGAAACUGAAGCUAAUACCGGAUGAUGACGUAAGUCCAAAGAUUUAUCGCCCAAGGAUGAGCCCGCGUAGGAUUAGCUAGUUGGUGAGGUAAAGGCUCACCAAGGCGACGAUCCUUAGCUGGUCUGAGAGGAUGAUCAGCCACACUGGGACUGAGACACGGCCCAGACUCCUACGGGAGGCAGCAGUGGGAAUAUUGGACAAUGGGCGAAAGCCUGAUCCAGCAAUGCCGCGUGAGUGAUGAAGGCCUUAGGGUUGUAAAGCUCUUUUACCCGGGAUGAUAAUGACAGUACCGGGAGAAUAAGCUCCGGCUAACUCCGUG